UGGAGACAGGGAACUGUGAGCAGGAAACUGUCUGAAAUGGGGAAAGAGGCAGGUGGAGGCUUCUCCCAUAUGUAUAUGCAAUGCCUGCAGGGUAGGGCAUGAAGGAAAACAGAGAGGAAAAACUAGAAACGUCGAGGAUAAGAGAAUAACAGAAAGCCACAGUGUCCGCAAAGCAAAAUAAAAUUAAACCACCCACCCUGCACUUCAGUGGGGGGCACCCUGAACCUCACACCCCAUACUUCAUGUUGAACCUGAGGUGAGUUCAUCCGAGCAGAUUGUGGAGAGCUGUUCCUCAAACCUGCAGUGAAACUGGUCCUGGGAGGAAAGGCCAAUUCAGUUCACUUACGUUGCAAUGUUUUACACUAUUUCAAAGUAACCAGAAGAAAGAUUUAGAGUGUUCUGUUCACAAAACACGGCAUAUGGUGGAAGUGAUGUUACAAGUUAAACACCACAAGUUGAUAUCACAUGGAGGCCUGCCUGUGUCCAAAUAUCACGCUGUAUUCCACAAACAUGUGCCAGGUAAAACAGUUAGAGGGGCUGGAGAUCUGGCUUACAACUUAAGAGCACUGAGUGCUCUUGCAAAGGACCUGGAAUUGAUUCACAGCACUCACUUGGCAACUCACAACCAUCUUGGAAAUCAUCAGACACAUGGCAAAGAUUCAUAACUCCCAGAUGCAAUAAUUAAAAAGAAAUACAUUUUAAAAACAUGGAUGGAUAAGAGGAAAAGACAGCUGUUUGAGAACAGUAAGUACAGGGAGGUGACAAAGUGUGUCACCUGGCCAGACAGUAAGAUGGUGCCA
rnacentral:lncRNA from 1 species